GACGUAGGGCGCGAGCGUUGUCCGGAAUUAUUGGGCGUAAAGAGCUCGUAGGCGGCUUGUCACGUCGUCCGUGAAAACCUGCAGCUCAACUGCAGGCUUGCGGUCGAUACGGGCAGGCUAGAGUUCGGUAGGGGAGACUGGAAUUCCUGGUGUAGCGGUGAAAUGCGCAGAUAUCAGGAGGAACACCGGUGGCGAAGGCGGGUCUCUGGGCCGAUACUGACGCUGAGGAGCGAAAGCGUGGGGAGCGAACAGG
rnacentral:rRNA from 1 species